UACGUAGGGCGCAAGCGUUGUCCGGAAUUAUUGGGCGUAAAGAGCUCGUAGGCGGCUUGUCACGUCGGGUGUGAAAGCCCGGGGCUUAACCCCGGGUCUGCAUUCGAUACGGGCUGGCUAGAGUGUGGUAGGGGAGAUCGGAAUUCCUGGUGUAGCGGUGAAAUCCGUAGAUAUCAUGAGGAACAUCAGUGGCGAAGGCGAAACUCUGGCAUAUUUCUGACGCUGAGACGCGAAAGCGUGGGGAGCAAACAGG
rnacentral:rRNA from 1 species